UACGUAGGGGGCAAGCGUUAUCCGGAUUUACUGGGUGUAAAGGGAGCGUAGGCGGACUUUUAAGUGAGAUGUGAAAUACCCGAGCUCAACUUGGGUGCUGCAUUUCAAACUGGAAGUCUAGAGUGCAGGAGAGGAGAAUGGAAUUCCUAGUGUAGCGGUGAAAUGCGUAGAGAUUAGGAAGAACACCAGUGGCGAAGGCGAUUCUCUGGACUGUAACUGACGCUGAGGCUCGAAAGCGUGGGGAGCAAACAGGAUUAGACACCCCCGUA
rnacentral:rRNA from 1 species